rnacentral:rRNA from 1 species
UGUGGUGGCGAUGGCAAGAAGGAUACACCUGUUCCCAUGCCGAACACAGAAGUUAAGCUUCUUAGCGCCGAUAGUAGUUGAGGGUUUCCCUCUGCAAGGGUAGGACGUUGCCACGC